rnacentral:lncRNA from 1 species
UUCUGGCCUUGGGAUUCUAAGCAGUUAACUCCUUGCUUAAUGACACCAGGGAGCACUUCCUUCACGGGGACACUGAGGAGAAAGGUGACAUCAGGCUGCUUUUCUCUCUCCUCUUGCUUACCCACCCCUUCCUCCAGAGGGAGUCACUGAGGUCUCCAGGACUGGCAGUCUGGGGAGGUGGGGGUGGGGUAUGGGGAGCAGGGUUGUAAGAGGCAGAAACAGCCUCAGUCCUAGAAGGUUCUUAUGGGAGACCUGAGACACAAGGGACCCUGAAGAGAUACUCAGGCCUAACUCAUGGACUCUUCAGCCUGGAAGUGGACACCUGGGAGUUUAAAGGCCUAAGAUGGCUCUAUUGAUGAACAUGCAACAGAGACCUGAGUUCAGAUGCCAGCAUGCAUGUAGAACCAGGUAUGGCCACUUGUAGGUGCAGUGCAGAGUGGGCAGAGACAGGCAGCUUCUCACUCUGCUAGCCAGCCAAUCUAGUCAACUGGUGAACCCCAAGUUCAGUUAAGAGACCCUGUCUCAAGAGAGAUGGUGGGUCAUAACAGCAGAAAACAUCCAGCUCUGGCCUUUUGCUUCCCACAGGAGCUGAGUUUGUAACUCCUAUGAGGAAAAGCUUCAAGGUCCCUGAGUGCUGGUUUCCCUCUCUGCAUGAACCAAGCUGCCUUCUGGGACCUCUGAGAAUUGUGCUCCAGGGAAAUGCUUCGAGCGGCACGGGGUUAUUCUGAUUUCACCCUAUGUUCUUCUUGCCAGCUCAUCAGCUGCCAGAGGAUGAGUUUUCAGCGGAGAGCGAGAACAGGGUCAAAGGGGAGGAGAGCAGAGUGGCCUCAGCUGCAUAAUGCACUGUUGUCUUCCUUUGGGCAGGUCUGAGGACUCAGAGUUAGCACCCAGACUGGACACCCUUGAAGGCCCUAGUGAUGAUAUACGCUCCAAAGAGUCUCCCAGGCCCCUGCCCCAGGAAGAAGAGCUCCCCUGAAGGACACAGCAGGCUGACCUGAUGGGUUUAGUGGGGUCAGUCCGGGUCAUCUUCUGCUCCAGCGGGAUCUGCUCCCACUUGAAAUGCAGACUCCAGUCAAACCCUACAGGCAAAGCAGAGUGGGAGUGGGAUGGCUUUGGACGUUCUUUUCCACCCUUUAGUCUCUUCUGAUCAGAGUGGGAUCCCAGAAGCCAUUGUACUGUACUGACACGGACACCUGUGCCAGCCUACUGAGAAGACAAAUGCUACAAAGUGUAUUUUGCAAAGUGCUAAAGAGCAAAUAACAACAUGAAGUAUCCAUAUUAUAGCAAGGUUAGUCAACAAAACUCCGACAAGUUGCUUUUUAACCAAGCAUGGGAAUAAAGACUAUGCUCCAUAUGGACAUCUGGGAAAAGGAAAUUCCAGACACGGGCAGCAGCAAGUGGGUGCUGGUUUGGACGAGAAUGACUUCCACAGGCUUAUCUAUCUGAACACUUGGUCCCCAGAUGAAACUGUUCUGGGGCAGGGGAUUAGGAGCUGUGGCCUUGUUGGCGGAAGUUUGCCCCUAAAGGUGGGCUUCAAGGCUUUAAAAGCCCAUGCCAGGCCCAGUUCGCUCUCUCUCUGCCUCUUGCUUUUGGAUCAUCUGUGAGCUCUCAGCUACUGCUCCAGCACCAUGCGUGCCUGCCUGCCGCCACACCUCCUGCCGUGAUAGUUAUAGACUCAUCCCAUGGAACCAUGAGCCCCCAAAUAAACGCUGC